UACGAAGGGGGCUAGCGUUGUCCGGAAUUACUGGGCGUAAAGCGCACGUAGGCGGACUAUUAAGUCAGGGGUGAAAUCCCGGGGCUCAACCCCGGAACUGCCUUUGAUACUGGUAGUCUCGAGUCCGGAAGAGGUGAGUGGAAUUCCGAGUGUAGAGGUGAAAUUCGUAGAUAUUCGCAAGAACACCAGUGGCGAAGGCGGCUCACUGGCCCGGUACUGACGCUGAGGUGCGAAAGCGUGGGGAGCAAACAGG
rnacentral:rRNA from 1 species